rnacentral:rRNA from 1 species
AGAGUUUGAUCCUGGCUCAGGACGAACGCUGGCGGCGUGCUUAACACAUGCAAGUCGAACGGUAAGGCCCUUCGGGGUACACGAGUGGCGAACGGGUGAGUAACACGUGGGUGAUCUGCCCUGCACUUUGGGAUAAGCCUGGGAAACUGGGUCUAAUACCGAAUAUGACCAUGCGCCUCCUGGUGUGUGGUGGAAAGCUUUUGCGGUGUGGGAUGGGCCCGCGGCCUAUCAGCUUGUUGGUGGGGUAAUGGCCUACCAAGGCGACGACGGGUAGCCGGCCUGAGAGGGUGACCGGCCACACUGGGACUGAGAUACGGCCCAGACUCCUACGGGAGGCAGCAGUGGGGAAUAUUGCACAAUGGGCGCAAGCCUGAUGCAGCGACGCCGCGUGAGGGAUGACGGCCUUCGGGUUGUAAACCUCUUUCAGCACAGACGAAGCGCAAGUGACGGUAUGUGCAGAAGAAGGACCGGCCAACUACGUGCCAGCAGCCGCGGUAAUACGUAGGGUCCGAGCGUUGUCCGGAAUUACUGGGCGUAAAGAGCUCGUAGGUGGUUUGUCGCGUUGUUCGUGAAAACUCACAGCUUAACUGUGGGCGUGCGGGCGAUACGGGCAGACUUGAGUACUGCAGGGGAGACUGGAAUUCCUGGUGUAGCGGUGAAAUGCGUAGA